GCAAGUCAAGGAUAAGCUCUGCUUCGGUAGAGUGGACACUGGCGCACGGGUGAGUAACGCGUAUGCAAUCUACCCUCAGUUCGGGGAUAACAUUUCUAACGAAGUGCUAAUACCCGAUGAAGCAGCGGCACCGCAUGGUGACAGUUGUUAAAGUUUCGGUGACUGAGGAUGAGCAUGCGUCCCAUUAGGUAGUUGGUAGAGUAACGGCCUACCAAGCCAUCGAUGGGUAGCUGGUCUGAGAGGAUGAUC
rnacentral:rRNA from 1 species